rnacentral:misc_RNA from 1 species
GGAUUUUGUUGCUGCCGGUGUUUGCCGGCAAGUGAAGUCAUGGCAGAAUCAGUGAAGGGAACGGUGACGUCACUAUCUUCACUGUUUCCGGUGGAAGAAGCGCAGAAAGCAGCGAAGCGUGUGGAGGAAAUUAUAUCGGAGCGGCAGAAGCAGCUGGACCAGCUCCGAGAUUUUGCCGACGACAAUAAUACUCUUAUUAGGAUUGUUCAGCGACUUCCCGAUGAGCUCCAUCAUGAUAUCAUGGUUCCGUUUGGUAAAGCUGCAUU